rnacentral:rRNA from 1 species
GAUGAACGCUGGCGGCGUGCCUAAUACAUGCAAGUCGAGCGAACGGACGAGAAGCUUGCUUCUCUGAUGUUAGCGGCGGACGGGUGAGUAACACGUGGAUAACCUACCUAUAAGACUGGGAUAACUUCGGGAAACCGGAGCUAAUACCGGAUGAUAUUUUGAACCGCAUGGUUCAAAAGUGAAAGACGGUCUUGCUGUCACUUAUAGAUGGAUCCGCGCUGCAUUAGCUAGUUGGUAAGGUAACGGCUUACCAAGGCAACGAUGCAUAGCCGACCUGAGAGGGUGAUCGGACACACUGGAACUGAGACACGGUACAGACUCCUACGAGAGGCAGCAGUAGGGAAUCGUACGCAAUGGGCGAAAGCCUGACGGAGCAACGCCGCGUGAGUGAUGAAGGUCUUCGGAUCGUAAAACUCUGUUAUUAGGGAAGAACAUAUGUGUAAGUAACUGUGCACAUCUUGACGGUACCUAAUCAGAAAGCCACGGCUAACUACGUG